CCUACGGGAGGCAGCAGUGGGGAAUUUUGGACAAUGGGGGCAACCCUGAUCCAGCCAUGCCGCGUGCGGGAAGAAGGCCUUCGGGUUGUAAACCGCUUUCGGCCGGAACGAAAUCGGCGGGAUGAACAGUCUCGCUGGAUGACGGUACCGGAAGAAGAAGCACCGGCUAACUACGUGCCAGCAGCCGCGGUAAUACGUAGGGUGCGAGCGUUAAUCGGAAUUACUGGGCGUAAAGCGUGCGCAGGCGGCUCGCUAAGCCAGAGGUGAAAUCCCCGGGCUCAACCUGGGAAUGGCCUUUGGAACUAGCGGGCUCGAGUGCGGCAGAGGGGGGUGGAAUUCCUGGUGUAGCAGUGAAAUGCGUAGAUAUCAGGAGGAACACCGAUGGCGAAGGCAGCCCCCUGGGCCAGCACUGACGCUCAGGCACGAAAGCGUGGGGAGCAAACAGGAUUAGAUACCCUGGUAGUCCACGCCCUAAACGAUGACGACUAGUUGUUGGGGGGAGCAAUCCCUUAGUAACGUAGCUAACGCGUGAAGUCGUCCGCCUGGGGAGUACGGUCGCAAGAUUAAAACUCAAAGGAAUUGACGG
rnacentral:rRNA from 1 species